UAUAUUUUAAUGAGUGACGAAACCAGAAUUUCGAAAUAAUUAAUUGAAAUUAAAGUUAUACUCCCAAUUCACUGAAUUUUGGAGGUUAGUAUUUUAAUGAUUUUGAUUGCAUUUAUGUAGUGAUUGACAUUCAAGCUAAAUGUGAAUAGCAUGUUGACGGUGGGGUAUAAAGUGGACAUCACAUCUACGUGGGUGUGGCCCAAAGAAAUUAAUGGUUUCUGCCUUUUCAUCCUUACGUAUAUAAGAAUAACCAUCGUCAUGUUAAUCAAUGCAAGAUCCAAGUAUACAAUAUACCUCUCUUGUAGUAUUUUGCUUGAUCAUGGUUGAGGGGAAUUUCGGCUGGUUCGAGAUCUUUCGUUUGGAAUAUAGAUUGUGUAUCAUCGGAAUGAUCUCGGACCAGGCUUCAUUCCCCCUAACCCUGAGAAUUAUCUGGUCUCUGUUACAUCUAUCUGAUAAUGGUUUCAGGUUCUGAUCUGUACAUUUCUGAAAUGCUUACCAAGUGUUCAUCUAAGCUACAAUACUAUUUUAUUAGUCUCGCUUUUAUGUAAAGCUAAUUAGCUGGAUGACUGCAGCUGAGAACACUGAGAACGAAUCGAGGUUGCAUCCGGAUUAUUUUCAGUUGUUGCAGAGGGACAGACAAUCUUCUUGAAGGCUGAAGCUGUCAUAGUCUGGGGCGGGUAUAGGAAGAGGCUCAUACGAGAUUGAGACAGGUCAAUAGCACCAAACAUUGACAUCACGUUAAAACCAUACCGGAGAUGGUCAAAUUUGAACUGAAUUAAAUAAAUUUACCUUCUUUCUUUAUUAUAUGAUACAGAUUCAGUUCUCUUCCCGUCUUUCAUGUAAUUUACAAAGUAAAGUUGUUUGUUUGUCAAUCUGAAAACUGGGAAACACACAGUAACAGUUUAUUUACUGCAAUGUUCUUGUACAAGACUAGUUUUACUCCAGCUCUUGAUUAUGUUUGAUUCACUGUCAUUUACACAUGUCGCACUGUUUUCGUGCACAAGUUAUCUAAGCACACAAACUUAGAAUCACUGAUCCUUUUUACAAUCUUUCACUAAUUUGCAGUAACUUUUAACAAAAAAUUUAACUAAUCUGACCAUGCAUUACUUGUGUGAACACAUGGUAGUUGAAGCAUAAUCACUCUUUAUCUUAAAGAAAACAUGAUAAUUAGGCUUAUCCCUAUUACUUUUUGACUAAUUAACUGCAUAAUUAGUUAUAACAAAAAAUGUGGAAAAAGUAGGCGACGAAAUUAUUUACUUAUCCGCGUUGAAAUUAAAGAGAGCAGCGUAUGUACGUGCGCGUAGCGUAGGUCGGGCCUCAAAAAAUAAAGUCUAGAAAGAAGAUCUUGCAAACAAAAAGCCAAACAUAGCUUUAAUACCCAUCUAUAACAACUUUACGUCUUGCUGAAUACGGGUGCUUUCUUGCAUGAUUAUUUAAUCAUGUAAUCAAGAACAGUAGUUUCUUCAAUCAUAUCAGCCUAUUCGAUCGGCUAUUCCUCGCAAGCUAUCUAUUCUUAGGCCAUGGGCGGAUUGAAGGGGCCCAAAGGAGGUAAACGUAAACUUCUUCGUUGUACUAGUGUUUGAUGCUUAAAAUCACAGUUCGUAGGACUAUGGUUCUACUUGUUAAUAAUUUUGCCUUAAUUAAAUUAACACUUGUGUUCAAGCUAAAGGAAUAUCAAGGGGAUUUGGGCUUCCUACACCGUAAAUGUGACGUCGAGGCCUUCCUGCACCGUACAUGUGACACUAAUUCAGAGUUGUGUUGACGGGACGCAAGGACGGAGCUAAGAUUUUAGUCUAGAUAGGGAAAAAAAAUUCUGUUAACAGAACAACAUUGUUGCCACAAGUUGAAUUCCAACUUGUGCCUUUGUUGGGAAGGUCGAGCUCCACGUUCAUAGGGGUAAAACAAAUUUUCUAUUAAAUACAGUAUAUAAAAGAUAUACGAAUAUAUUAUGAAGGUCAAUGGGGCAAGUAUCCUCAGUGCCUUACGCCGUUCUGACGGGACUGAUCUAAUAAGCUGCAGCAGUUACGGGGCCAUAUCAUGACCCUCGCAAUCAUGCUCCGAGGAGAAUUAGAUCGAUGGGAGAAGGCCCAGAGCUGACAGGAAAAGCUUUGUGCAUACAAGAACAUUUGAUGAUGUUUAUCUUUGUUUAUUUGGACAAAUUUUGUUGUUUUUUUCCUCUUUUGACAUGAUGACAAAUUCUUCGGAUUAUAACGCAGAAGCCUGAUCAGUUUAUUGA